AUAAGUUGAAUUAAAAGUCGUCUAAGCUAUUUGAUCCAGCUAGACAUAAAUUUAAAGUUGUUGUUGAACAAGAUAAAACUUAUCCAACCGAAUUGUUUUGGUUUGGAUUCAAGACUGUUAUGAACAUCCUAAUUAUGGGAAAUUUUUAUGCGCUAAGGCGGACAAAGGAUGAACGAUAAUAUCGUUCUAGCAAUGUAGUAUUGAUCAAUACAAUGCAUAACGGGCUGAUCACCCCCGUGCCCGUAAGUUAUGACGGUUUACAGAUGAAGUUCUGUUUAACCUUUUCAAAAAUAGAAAAUAAUGUUCAUAGUCUG
rnacentral:lncRNA from 1 species